CCGACGGUGAGGGGUGAAGCUAGGGACACGAACAGGAUUAGAUACCCGGGUAGUCCUAGCCGUAAACGAUACUCGCUAGGUGUCGGCAACGGUGCGACCGUUGUCGGUGCCGUAGGGAAGCCGUGAAGCGAGCCACCUGGGAAGUACGGCCGCAAGGCUGAAACUUAAAGGAAUUGGCGGGGGAGCACCACAACGGGUGGAGCUUGCGGUUUAAUUGGAUUCAACGCCGGAAAUCUUACCGGGACCGACAGCAAUAUGAAGGCCAGGCUGAAGACUUUGCCGGAUUAGCUGAGAGGUGGUGCAUGGCCGUCGUCAGUUCGUACUGUGAAGCAUCCUGUUAAGUCAGGCAACGAGCGAGACCCACGCCCACAGUUGCCA
rnacentral:rRNA from 1 species